AGAGUUUGAUCCUGGCUCAGGACGAACGCUGGCGGCACGCUUAACACAUGCAAGUCGAACGAGAGAAGAGGAGCUUGCUUUUCUGAUCUAGUGGCGGACGGGUGAGUAACACGUGAGCAAUCUGCCUUUCAGAGGGGGAUACCGAUUGGAAACGAUCGUUAAUACCGCAUAACAUAAUUGAACCGCAUGAUUUGAUUAUCAAAGAUUUAUCGCUGAAAGAUGAGCUCGCGUCUGAUUAGCUAGUUGGUAAGGUAACGGCUUACCAAGGCGACGAUCAGUAGCCGGACUGAGAGGUUGAUCGGCCACAUUGGGACUGAGACACGGCCCAGACUCCUACGGGAGGCAGCAGUGGGGAAUAUUGCACAAUGGAGGAAACUCUGAUGCAGCGAUGCCGCGUGAGGGAAGAAGGUUUUAGGAUUGUAAACCUCUGUCUUCAGGGACGAAAAAAGACGGUACCUGAGGAGGAGGCUCCGGCUAACUACGUGCCAGCAGCCGCGGUAAUACGUAGGGAGCGAGCGUUGUCCGGAAUUACUGGGUGUAAAGGGAGCGUAGGCGGGAUCGCAAGUCAGAUGUGAAAACUAUGGGCUUAACCCAUAAACUGCAUUUGAAACUGUGGUUCCUGAGUGAAGUAGAGGUAAGCGGAGUUCCUAGUGUAGCGGUGAAAUGCGUAGAUAUUAGGAGGAACAUCAGUGGCGAAGGCGGCUUACUGGGCUUUAACUGACGCUGAGGCUCGAAAGCGUGGGGAGCAAACAGGAUUAGAUACCCUGGUAGUCCACGCCGUAAACGAUGAUUACUAGGUGUGGGGGGACUGACCCCUUCCGUGCCGCAGCAAACGCAAUAAGUAAUCCACCUGGGGAGUACGACCGCAAGGUUGAAACUCAAAGGAAUUGACGGGGGCCCGCACAAGCAGUGGAGUAUGUGGAUUAAUUCGAAGCAACGCGAAGAACCUUACCAGGUCUUGACAUCGUAUGCAUAGCUCAGAGAUGAGUGAAAUCUCUUCGGAGACAUAUAGACAGGUGGUGCAUGGUUGUCGUCAGCUCGUGUCGUGAGAUGUUGGGUUAAGUCCCGCAACGAGCGCAACCCUUACUGUUAGUUGCUACGCAAGGGCACUCUAGCAGGACUGCCGUUGACAAAACGGAGGAAGGUGGGGAUGACGUCAAAUCAUCAUGCCCCUUAUGACCUGGGCCUCACACGUACUACAAUGGCUGUCAACAGAGGGAAGCAAAGCCGCGAGGUGGAGCGAACCCCUAAAAGCAGUCUUAGUUCGGAUUGUAGGCUGCAACCCGCCUACAUGAAGUCGGAAUUGCUAGUAAUCACAGAUCAGCAUGCUGCGGUGAAUACGUUCCCGGGCCUUGUACACACCGCCCGUCACGCCAUGGGGGUCGGUAACACCCGAAGCCUGUAGUCUAACCGCAAGGAGGACGCAGUCGAAGGUGUGAUUGAUGACUGGGGUGAAGUCGUAACAAGGUA
rnacentral:rRNA from 1 species